rnacentral:rRNA from 1 species
AGUGAACGCUGGCGGUAGGCCUAACACAUGCAAGUCGAACGGCAGCACAGUAAGAGCCUGCUCUUACGGGUGGCGAGUGGCGGACGGGUGAGGAAUACAUCGGAAUCUACUUUUUCGUGGGGGAUAACGUAGGGAAACUUACGCUAAUACCGCAUACGACCUACGGGUGAAAGCAGGGGAUCUUCGGACCUUGCGCGAUUGAAUGAGCCGAUGUCGGAUUAGCUAGUUGGCGGGGUAAAGGCCCACCAAGGCGACGAUCCGUAGCUGGUCUGAGAGGAUGAUCAGCCACACUGGAACUGAGACACGGUCCAGAUUCCUACGGGAGGCAGCAGUGGGGAAUAUUGGACAAAGGGCGCAAGCCUGAUCCAGCCAUACCGCGUGGGUGAAGAAGGCCUUCGGGUUGUAAAGCCCUUUUGUUGGGAAAGAAAAGCAGCAGGUUAAUACCCCGCUGUUCUGACGGUACCCAAAGAAUAAGCACCGGCUAACUUCGUG